rnacentral:lncRNA from 1 species
AACGUCAUUAAUUAAUUGAGAGAAAACAAUUCCAGAUUUCAAACUUAAAGAGGAAAACGCCAACAUAUAUAGAAAUGAACUAUUUGAAAACCUGAAAAAGUAUAUUCUUAUUUCAAUUCCGUCUCAUCCUGCAUUUCUUUAGUCGAGAGUUCUCAUCAACAAAAAGUAACAAAAAUAACAGGAAAAAAUUCAAAACUUUAAGUUCCUAAUCAAUGGCAAAAUUAAAGGAGAAUGCAAUUGUAUUGUGUUUUAAAUAUAUUAUUUAUGAUUCUUUAAUGUAUGGUUAUUACUUACUGUCGUUAUUCUUCAGAUGCGAUGAAUUAGUAAAAAUAAGUACAUGAUAUCAAACAUGUUGCAGUUUUCUAAAAGGAGUUAUUACUAUAAUAAUAGAACGGCUGAUUGUAGACAGUUUAAUACCUCUGUUGGUGUACUAUCAGUCCCCGAGGGUAUCAUCAGCUCAGUAGUUAAUUCCAUGCGUCCGAAUCGCUUUUCAGAAUUUACCUUCGUCGGGAACUCUCGUAGGCAAUUAUUUGAAAGUCAAGAAUGUAUAAGAACCGAACAGUUUCGAAUAUAUAAGACCAAAAGGACCUAAAACAUUGCCAAAUAUAUCAAAGGUUAACUUUGAUACCUUAGUUUCUUUUUAUUUUUAAAAUUUAUAAACGGACAGUUUUAUAAAAGUUUCUUAUAACUCAUGCCUGUACCGAAGUACUGAAUACUGCAGCUGAUGUUACCCUCGGUGUUCACCAGCAGAGGUAUCGACCCAGUGUUGUAAAAAACUAAAAAAAAAAAACACGUUAAUAAAUCCAUGCAUCAGAUGCGCUUUUCUGAAUAACCUAUUUUAGGGAAUUAAGUAUU